GACUAAAACCUACCAAAACCAAGAUGGCCAUGAAGAGUGACCUUUGGUCAUUCUCACUGCUACACUCUCACCAGUGCCAAGACAGUUUACAAAUGCCAUGGCAAUGACAGGAAGUUCCCCUAUAUGGUCUAAAAAGGGGAGGCAUGAAUAAUCCACUCCUUGUUUAGCAUAUCAUCAAGAAAUAACCAUAAAAAUGGGUAACCAGCAGCCCUUGUGGCUGCUCUGUCUAUGGAGUAGCCAUUCUUUUAUUCCUCUACUUUCUUAACAAACUUGCUUUUGCUUUGCACUGUGGACUCUCCCUGAAUUUUUUCUUGCCCAAGAUCCAAGAACCUUCUCUUGGGGUCUGGAUCAGGACCGCUUUCCUGUAACAUCUUUCUGGCAACCACAAAGGGAUGAUACUGAAGAGACCCCCUAAUCUCAACUGAAAAUCAUCUGCUUGCACCAAUUUUGGCUGACUUUGGAUGAGGACAAUCAGUUUCAGUUUACAUACACCCUGGAAUCUGGAACCAAUGACAGGGAGGAAUCUGGAAACAGACGAUUUUAGAAAGAAGUCACACAUGAUGACAACUGUUUUAGAAAGACCUUUCCAGCUGCAGCAUGGAGGAUGGACCUGAGGCAGGGGAUGCCUACUGGAGAAGAUGGAGAGUGACACAGGGGACAGACCCAGGGAAUAUAAUAUGGAAGUCAGAGAUCAAAGGCAAAAACAGGGAAGCCAAAUUUCCUUUUCCAAGUGAGACCACUUUCAGCACUUCCUCAUGCUCUAUAACUCAAAAAACCCACAACACACAAAAUUACCAAAAAAUUCUCUAAUGUAGACAGUGAAAAUUUCUGGGGUUUUGUAUUUGCAAUAUUUAUCUAAGCAUUGCUUUAUUUCAAUAUAAAGAUAUGUAAAUGAUCCUCUCUUUGCAUAUUCCUACCACACUAUAUUUUCAAAUUUACUUUGAACUUAAUAAAGCAAUUCUGAUAUUUUAA
rnacentral:lncRNA from 10 species